rnacentral:rRNA from 1 species
CAAGGAAUUUUCGGCAAUGGGCGCAAGCCUGACCGAGCAACGCCGCGUGGAGGAUGACGGCUUUCGGGUUGUAAACUCCUUUUCGGUGGGACGAUAAUGACGGUACCACCGGAAUCAGGCCCGGCUAACUACGUGCCAGCAGCCGCGGUAAUACGUAGGGGUCGAGCGUUGUCCGGACUUACUGGGCGUAAAGCGUGGGUAGGUGGAUGGUGAUGUGCCGUGUGAAAGCGCCGCGCUUCUCGCGGCGAGGUCGCGGUAGACACACCAUCUAGAGGCACGGAGAGGGGCGUAGAAUUCCCGGUGUAGUGGUGAAAUGCGUAGAUAUCGGGAGGAAUACCAGUGGCGCAAGCGGCGCCCUGGCCGUGACCUGACACUGAGCCACGACGGCGUGGGGAGCAAACGG